AUGGAAAACAAGGCCUCUCAACCUACAGAAGAUGGUCAGGAAUCAAACUCUGCAACCGAGGCUAUAGCUGAAGUGCUUGCUAAGAACACUAAGAAGCCAAGGUUUCUUCAGCAUGUGAGGAUCCAGCAUGUCCAUGCGAGAUCCAGUGUAGAAGUGGCAACGGAGAAGAGGGACAAUGUCGAGCUUCGGGCACGUGUUGACACCUUGACCAAGCUGUUGAAGGAGUCUGAAGAAGCAAGGAUCAGGGAAGACGAUGAGCACAAGAAGAGAGAUGAGGAGAACAUGAAGAAGCAAGUUGUGGUGGAUGCAAAACUAGACUUUUUGCUAAGUCAGUUGCAACCA
rnacentral:rRNA from 1 species